GGCGAACGCUGGCGGCGUGCUUAAGACAUGCAAGUCGAACGGGCUCUUCGGAGCUAGUGGCGCACGGGUGAGUAACGCGUAACUGACCUACCCCAAAGUCGCGGAUAACGAUUCGAAAGAAUCGCUAAUACGUGAUGUGCUGUCAGAUCCUGUUCUGCCAGUAAACAUUUAUUGCUUUGGGAUGGGGUUGCGUUCCAUCAGCUAGUUGGUGGGGUAAAGGCCCACCAAGGCGGCGACGGAUAGCCGGCCUGAGAGGGUGGCCGGCCACAGGGGCACUGAGACACGGGUCCCACUCCUACGGGAGGCAGCAGUUAGGAAUCUUCCACAAUGGGCGAAAGCCUGAUGGAGCGACGCCGCGUGAGGGAUGAAGGUCUUCGGAUCGUAAACCUCUGAAUCAGGGACGAAAGACACUUUAUGUGGGAUGACGGUACCUGAGUAAUAGCACCGGCUAACUCCGUGCCAGCCGCCGCGGUAAGAC
rnacentral:rRNA from 1 species